GUCUCGGUGUUGUAGUGGUAACACGCAUCCCCGGGGUGGAUAAAACGCGGGUUCGACUCACGUCUGAAGUCG